rnacentral:lncRNA from 1 species
AUCCUGUUCUUGGUUUUGCACUCUCUGGCUGUGUGACUCAGGAAGGACAAUUCAGGAAGCUUCUGUGAGUCUCUGUAUCUUUUUCCUAACAUGAGGGAGGCUGUCCUUCCUCUGCUCUAUCCUGUGGUGGUCACUCACUCUAUAGGGAGCUUGAAGUGCCUGGCCAGAAUUGAGAAAUGUGGUAAGCCUACAGUACAUACUGAUCUCAAAGACCUAAUACAGGGGGAAAAAUUGAGAUAUCUCAAUUGUAUUUUAAAUAUUAAUUACUUAAAAAAAUGAUAACAUAUUAUUGUGUUAGUUUUCCAUUGCUGUGACAAAAUACUCAAGAUGAACAACUUAAAAGGAGAAAAGAUUUAUUUUGGCUCACAAUUUCAGAAUUUUCAGUCUUUGGCAACUUGACUCCAUUGCUACGGGGUUGUGGUGAGGCAGAAUAUCAUCGAGGGAAGCAUCAUAGGACAGAGCAGAGUUGCUCACCUCAUGGUGACUGGGAAGGAGAAGGGUGGCCGGAAGAGACCAGUUACAAAAUAUACCCAGCCAGGACAUGCUCCCACUGACCUACUUAUUCCAACGAGGCCCACCUUUUGAAGUUUCCACCACCUCCAGAGGUCCAUUAACCCAUGAAUUCCUCAAUGAAUUAGUCCAUUGAUAAGGUUGGAACCCUGAUUAUCUAAUCAUUUCCCUCACCUCUGAACUCUGAUGCAUUAGAGACCAAGACUUAAACACAUGAGCUUUGGGGGGAC